GCCCGGGUGGCGGAACAGGUAGACGCGCAGGACUUAAAAUCCUGUUCACUGCAAAGUGAGUAUCGGUUCGAUUCCGAUCUCGGGCACCC
rnacentral:tRNA from 1 species